rnacentral:rRNA from 1 species
AGAGUUUGAUCAUGGCUCAGAAUCAACGCUGGCGGCGUGCCUAACACAUGCAAGUCGCACGAGAAAGGGUAGCAAUACCUGAGUAAAGUGGCGCACGGGUGAGUAACACGUGAAUCAUCUACCUUCGAGUGGGGAAUAACUGAGAGAAAUCUUAGCUAAUACCGCAUAAUACCUACGGGGUCAAAGCAGCAAUGCGCUUG